rnacentral:rRNA from 1 species
CACGGAAUUAGCCGGUCCUUUUUCUGAUGGUACAUACAAUACGGGGCUCACGAGCCCCCUUUUAUUCCCAACUAAAAGCAGUUUACAACCCGGAGGGCCGUCAUCCUGCACGCUACUUGGCUGGUUCAGACUUGCGUCCAUUGACCAAUAUUCCUCACUGCUGCCUCCCGUAGGAGUCUGGACCGUGUCUCAGUUCCAGUGUGGGGGACCUUCCUCUCAGAACCCCUACCCAUCGGAGCCUUGGUGGGCCCGUUACCCCGCCAACUAGCUAAUGGGACGCAUCGCCAUCGCAUACCGAAAUUCUUUGCUCACCGUAACAUGCGGAACAGUGAGAACAGUCGGGUAUUAAUCUUGCUUUCGCAAGGCUAGUCCCCGGUAUGCGGCAGGUUCGAUACGCGUUACGCACCCGUGCGCCGGUCGCCAUCAGCGGUCGCAAGCGACCGCCAUGACUCGCCCCUCGACUUGCAGUGUGUUAAGCCUGUAGCUAGCGUUCAUCCUGACGUCAGGAUCUAAA